UCUGAUACCAGAUAUGACUUUUAUUAUGCCGCUACUGAAACUCGUACAUGAUCCGGAGACGUAGGCACAACGACCCAUGACACACAAACGCUUGUACAUAUCACAAAAGCGCUUACUCACACAGGCUGUAAAGAGAUAUGGCCGUGGGUGUACACACGGAUACAUUUCAUUGCCGCUGGUUCGUGGGAUUUAGACAGAGCAGUGCUGUCAGCUGAGUCACGUUGGUCCAGUGUUGAGACAGAGACACAGAGCAGCAGAGGACAACCAUGCUGUGGUGGUGAGCUGAAAAUCCCUCUCUGACCACAUUUAACUCUUUAGGUAUCUCCCGCAGGCCUUCAGAUCGACAGGAGCCAAACAGUGGCCCUGUGUAUGGUGCUCGGAGGAGACGUGUCGCUACAGAGGUGGAGACAAUCCCCCUCAUGAGGGAGAUCACGAGUGUGUGACUCAGCCAGAGAGCUCGGGGCUGACAGGCGUAGGGCAGACGCAGAGGUGUGAAGUCGUGGUUCUGGGUGUGAUGCAGUGAGUAGCGUUUCUGUGCAGGGGAACGUGAACGUCGACUGGAACCUAAAAGGGAUGGGUGGUUUUCAUCGAGAUUGUCAAGACGGACUUAAACUCACUUGGCAAUUUAUAAAAGAAUCACUGACCGACAGCAAUCUACAACUUAGUCCCAGUUACAAAACCAGUGCUGAACGUCACUCAUCGAUGAGGAAGUUGACGAGGGCGGUCCUGGGGGAGAGGAUGACUCUCUUGAUGCUGCGCCCGCCAAGGAGCUCCCGUCCGAGUUGGCUCUCCAGGAUCAGCUGCUGCACCCGCUCUGUGUCUUUGGACACCUGCAGCGGCACCGUCACCGUCCCACACACCUUGUUGUUUAUCUGCCGGCGAGAAUUAAAAAAGAAGAUAAAUUAAUGGGAGAAGCUCAAAAAGCUCAAAGAGUCUCAAACUGAAAAAAAGGUUGUGCCAUGUGGAGCUGUAGCCACAGUCUCCCUUCCUGACAUGAAAGUCCCAAAAUAACAGACUCCGCCUCUCGUUCCACAUUUACACAUAGUUAGUGGUAGGUAUGGGAAGGGCACUCAGUCUGGUGUGUUUAGACGCAAGUGUAUGUGUGCUCACGGCGAAUGGGAUCAUGUCUCUGGAAGUGGUUGAAAGUUAAUAGCGUGUGUGUGUGUGCGCGAGUGUUUGUGUGUGUGUGUGUGUGAGUGUAUGUGUGUGUGUGUGUGCGCUGGUGAGGCCUCUCAGCCUUGGUCUCCCUUCUGGGACAAACCCAAGCUCAUGAUUAGAGGACAGACGGAGUGAGGUUGCCUCCGCAGGGCCGAGGGCCGAGCCCACAACAGAGAGCUCAGUCUGAAGUAAAACCAGCAUCAUUAUCAUCAAGCCACGGGAGCUCAAAUAUAUGAAUAUGGUGUGUUCAUGUGUGUAUGUUAGUGGACAGGGUGUGUAUGGGAUCAAGGACUUUUUUGUGUAUGGGAUGCAGAAGUGAAUGAGGGUGGAGAAAUGAAAAUGUGUAAGCGAGGCGUAUUUUGACUCACAGGCAAAGUAAAUGUGGGGAUAGAAAGAAAGAAAGAAACAAACACGUUUUCCUUUCUUUCAAGUAGGUCUCGUCUGUUUUUUGUCUCUCUGUCAGAUUACAGAGGGAGAAUCCAACCAGUGGAAGACAGGUGCUGUUAGUCAGCUGUAAUGUCUUUGUAUAAAUCUAUGUGUGUGUGUGUGUGUGUGUGUGUGUGUGUGUGUGUGUGUGUGUGUGUGCGAGAGCACUUUCAAAGGCGUAUAGAAAAUCAGAGAGAAUAUCCAGCUGUGAUGGGAAGCCCCCAGAAAAUCAACUGGAAUUAGAUCCAAGCCUCACACGUGCUAAUACUGGCACAUGAAUGCACAUAAACCCCUGCAUGAACGUGCACACACACACAAACACACACACACACACACACACAAACACACUCGUCAGUCUUCACACUGCCCUGAACAUGGACUCAUUUAAUAGAUAAAAGCUCAAACUGCUUUAAUCUGACUGUUUUCUUCCCAGCUGUUCUAAAGGAACCCUCUAAUCUCCUUAUACACACACUCAUGCACGCACACACACACACAGAAACCUGUUAACCCUAUGGGGGGGAACACUUAGCGAUGUAAUGUAUUCCUUUACUCCUCACCCUUACCUAACCGUCACAUCUAAAAAUGCAACUUUAACCCUUACCCUAACCAAGACGAUGUUCUAACCUAGAACGAGUCUUAACCCUGAAAAAGAUGUCUCUAUUUCUGUGCCCAUGGUGACAACAGUCCCAAAGGGUAAAUGUAUUUAGGUUGAAGUCCACUGGGAUAUAAAAAAAAAAAAGAGUGUUGAUGCAAACACAUACGCACACAUUUUCCCCCCUGAUGAUGACAGUGCCAAACUGAGGGAGAGAGUCAGGAAUAACACAGUGUCUCUGUUCCUGUCUUUUAAUUAUUGAUCCACUUGUGUAUUUAGCUUAAAGGCAGCUACUUGACACACACACACACACACACACACACACACACACACACACACACACACACACACACACACACACACACACACACACACACACACACACACACACACACACACACACACACUCACACACACACAUACACACAUAUAUAUAUAUAUAAAUACACACACAUACGCUAAUCACGGGUUCUCUUGAAAAUUACAGACUUUGAAUGCAAUCAUGGAGUUAAGAGCAGAGAGUUUGAGUGAAAACGCCAGCGUAUGAAGGAGCAGACGUGUGUGUGCCUGUUAAUAAAGUUACUGAAUGUAUAAAUAA